UAGGGAAUCUUCGGCAAUGGACGGAAGUCUGACCGAGCAACGCCGCGUGAGUGAAGAAGGUUUUCGGAUCGUAAAGCUCUGUUGUAAGAGAAGAACGAGUGUGAGAGUGGAAAGUUCACACUGUGACGGUAACUUACCAGAAAGGGACGGCUAACUACGUGCCAGCAGCCGCGGUAAUACGUAGGUCCCGAGCGUUAUCCGGACUUAUUGGGCGUAAAGCGAGCGCAGGCGGUUAGAUAAGUCUGAAGUUAAAGGCUGUGGCUUAACCAUAGUACGCUUUGGAAACUGUUUAACUUGAGUGCAGAAGGGGAGAGUGGAAUUCCAUGUGUAGCGGUGAAAUGCGUAGAUAUAUGGAGGAACACCGGUGGCGAAAGCGGCUCUCUGGUCUGUAACUGACGCUGAGGCUCGAAAGCGUGGGGAGCAAACAGGAUUAGAUACCCUGGUAGUCCACGCCGUAAACGAUGAGUGCUAGGUGUUGGGUCCUUUCCCGGACUCAGUGCCGCAGCUAACGCAUUAAGCACUCCGCCUGGGGAGUACGACCGCAAGGUUG
rnacentral:rRNA from 1 species